rnacentral:rRNA from 1 species
GACGAACGCUGGCGGCGUGCUUAACACAUGCAAGUCGAACGGAAAGGCCCCUUUGGGGGUACUCGAGUGGCGAACGGGUGAGUAACACGUGAGUAACCUGCCCUUGACUUCGGGAUAACUUCAGGAAACUGGGGCUAAUACCGGAUAGGAAUCCUUGCUGCAUGGUGGGGGUUGGAAAGCUUCGGCGGUUUUGGAUGGACUCGCGGCUUAUCAGCUUGUUGGUGGGGUAGUGGCUUACCAAGGUUUUGACGGGUAGCCGGCCUGAGAGGGCGACCGGCCACAUUGGGACUGAGAUACGGCCCAGACUCCUACGGGAGGCAGCAGUGGGGAAUAUUGCACAAUGGGCGGAAGCCUGAUGCAGCAACGCCGCGUGCGGGAUGACGGCCUUCGGGUUGGAAACCGCUUUCAGCAGGGGCGAAGCUUGUGGUGACGGUACCUGCAGAAGAAGCACCGGCUAACUACGUG